CCUACGGGAGGCAGCAGUGGGGAAUAUUGGGCAAUGGGCGAAAGCCUGACCCAGCAACGCCGCGUGAAUGAAGAAGGUCUUAGGAUUGUAAAAUUCUGUCCUAUGGGAAGAAAAAAAUGACGGUACCAGAGGAGCAAGCCACGGCUAACUACGUGCCAGCAGCCGCGGUAAUACGUAGGUGGCAAGCGUUGUCCGGAAUUACUGGGUGUAAAGGGAGCGCAGGCGGGAAGCCAAGUCAGCUGUGAAAACUACGGGCUUAACUUGUAGACUGCAGUUGAAACUGGUUUUCUUGAGUGAAGUAGAGGUUGGCGGAAUUCGGAGUGUAGCGGUGAAAUGCGUAGAUAUUCGGAGGAACACCGGUGGCGAAGGCGGCCAACUGGACUUUAACUGACGCUGAGGCUCGAAAGUGUGGGGAGCAAACAGGAUUAGAUACCCUUGUAGUC
rnacentral:rRNA from 1 species